AAAAAGAACCUGCAGGAGGCAUGCAAGUGGCUGAGAGGCACACUUACUGCCCCUUCAUGAUUCACCUCUGCACUCAUGUCAUGGGCACGCUCUUAAGAGCUGCUGGCGCCCCACAACUGACCAGGGUGGUGUACUGGAGCCAGGCCCUUUCUGCCUAAGCAGGACACUCAAAGAGGCAGUCUUUGCCCUGCAGCCCUCCACUGGCCCAGCCAACACUCUCUCAGAGCUUAGACAUCUGCUUCUCAGAGCACCCAAACUGACAGGGUGUAUCCAGUAUAUUUGAUUCUGAAGCUAGAGAGACCCAGCUGGCCAUACACAUUGGGGAAUCAUUGACAGAUGGCAGCUGAGAUCUGAGAGCGGUUGACCUCACUUCACAAGGUUGAGUGGAAUUAGGAGGGACAAACUUCUGUGACAGGAGCCUGAGGAGCACCAAACAGGAGAACCCAGCCCAUUUCACAGGAUGUUUAAUGUGUGCUCACAAAUAGAUUCCAUCAGCUCUCCUACGGCACCCAGGAGGUCAGCUGCCCCAUGGAGGAAGCAAGAUUUGUGUGCAUUAGAAAUAAAUGAACUGUUGGAGAUAGGAUCUUCUUUGUUGACAAAACAAGUCUUGAAGAUAAGAGAUCAAGGCUUCUAGUUAAAUGGAGCAGUGACCUUAUCAGAAAUCUCAAAGCAGAAAAGUCUGUCAGAAAAACAGCAUCAGAUCAAGGAAACCAAGUACAUGGAGCUAAUUUUUGACUCUAAAGAAAGGCAAGAUUAUUUAAUAAUAAUGAUAAUGGCACAGUUUGUUAACUAUGUGAAGAAAAUCAAAUAUAGCUUUAUCUCCAUUAUACAACCAAAUAUAUUCUACAUGGAUUAAAAUAUUAAAUGUAAAAGUUAAUCAAACCAAUAAGUCAAAAAAGAAAAAAAUAGAAAAAAUAUCCAUAAAAAUUUAUUGAAUUACAAAAUGGUCAUAAAAUAUAUUAGUUCAAAACAAUGGAAUAAUUCAUAAAGGAUGACUAUUAUAGAGAUUUUCCCGUAGAGAGUUCUAAAAUUUAUGUGACUCAAAAAAUGCCUUAUAUAAAACUAAUAUCAAAUAAAAAUUUUCAGAAAAUAUUUGCUUGCAUAAGGCAAAAGAGCUAAUAACCUUAAUGUAUAAAAGUUCCUUCAAACUAAGUACCAUCUCAGAAGAAAAAAAAUCUCAAAGUGGUAAUCAAAUAAUAAAAAUUGUAAUACCAGGUCUCGAUGACUUAGCUAGGUGUGGUGGUGCACACGCCUGUCGUCCCAGCUACUCGGGAGACUGAGGCAGAAGAAUCACUUGAACCCAGGAGGUGGAGUUUGCAGUGAGCCAAGAUCACGCCACUGCACUCCAGCCUGGGGACAGAGCGAGACUCUGUCAAAAAACAAAACAAAACAAAAUAAAACUUCCCUUAAUUCUGCAACAUUUCUGAUUAGACCAAGUAGCAUCAGGAAAGAUACAGAAGAACUUUCCCUCCUCCAACAGCUAAGUUCAACUAAAUUUCUGGACACUGUAUAUAUUUUAACCUCCCCCACCUAAAAUAAAAGAAAAAAAAGAGAAGACUUUGCAGUAUGGAGAAAAGGUAGACAAGCCAGGGACCUUGGUCUCAAAGAACAACAUGGUGGUGGGUUUCCUGGGUUUUCUUUUCCAUCAUAUAUCUCAGACUUGGAGAUGAAAAAUCAGCAAUCCAGAAACAACAUUGGAUGGAGAAAAAGCUGCAAUGAAAGAUUGCCAUCUCUAGCAAAGGAGCAGAAAAGGGGCAGACUAUCAAGGCAGAAAACUUUCAGGCUGUAACUGCUCUACUCCAACCACAUCCAGAAAACAAAACUAAACAAACAAACAAAAAAAACUUGUGGCCUCAUUUUCACUCAUGCUAACAAAGCCCAAGUGGGGAGUCUAAACUGCCACCCUCACAAAGCUGUAAAUAGGUGCCCGCAAUACCCCUACAGGAGUGGUGUCAGAGGACAUGGAAAAGGGAGCCAAAACUUUCAUUUCUGUUAGCCAGUAACAAGAGUCUACUGCAGUGUAAAUGGAGACCAUAUGGGGAACUUGGACUUUCAUGCUACCUGGCAGUGACGAGGCAGCCCUUCUUUCCCUGAUGGAAUGGCAUCAGAGGAUCCCAGUGGGAAGUGAGGACAUUCACUACCACUAAUUAGUAACAAGGCCACCACCACUAUGGUGUCAAUAGAGAUCACAUGGAGAGGCAGCACAAAUAUCUAUGCCCAGUAGUUAUUAAGACCUGCUUCUCUCAGCAGAGUCAGGUGUCAGUGGAGGAGAAGUGAAGGAUCUGGAAGUGAAUUCUACCUUCCAGUAGAAAGCUGUGUUGAGCCACUUUUCCCCCUUUCAAAGCAGUGCCUAAAAAAGCAGCUGGAGGAUAAAGUUUGAAUAAGAUCCAAAGACUCUUAACGUAAUAUGAAUGUGACCAGGUUUCAAUCAAAAAUUGCUUGUCAUACAAAUAACAAGGAAAAUUUCAAAAAGGAUAAAAAGUAAAUUCAUUAUAUGCCAAUAGUGAGAAGGCAGAGCUAUUAAAAUAAUCUGACAGAGAUUGUAGAGCAACUGUGGUAAAAAUACUUCAACAAUCAAAACAUGCUUGAAACAAAUUUAAAAAACAGAGUUUCAGCACAGAUAUAUAAGACACAAAGAAGAACCACUGGACAUUUUAGAACAGAAAAAUGUAAUAACUUAAGUGAAAGCUUAAUGGAUGAUAUCAACAGCAGAAUAGAAGAGACAGAAGAAGAAAACAGGUAGCUUUAAGAUAGAAGAAGAAAAAUCACAUAAUCUAAACAACAGAGAGGAUAAAGGAAAAGAAAAUGAACAGAGCCUCCAAGAUCUGUGGACUAUAACAAAAUAUCUAGCAAAGACCUGGAAGAAGAGAAAUAGAGUGGGUCUAAAAAUGUGCUCCAAGUACACAUGGUCACAAAGAUGAGAACAAUAGACACUGAGGACUACUUGGAGGGGGAGACUGGGAGGAGAGUGAGGGUCAUAAAACUACCGAUUGGGUAUCUUGCUCACUGCCUGGAUGAUGGAAUCAUUUGUACACCAAACCCCAGUACUACACUGCCCAUGUAACAAACCUGCACAUAUACACCCUGAAUCUAAAAUAAAAGUUGAAUAAAUACAUAAAUAUAUAAAAAAUAAAAAUGUACACCAAAAAAUAGCAUCUAAAAUCUACCAAUUUCAUUAGAGACAUAAACCUACAGAAUAUGAAUAAAUAUGAAUGAACCCUAAACAGGGUAAUCACAAAGAUAUUCACACCAAGUUCCCUUGUAAUUAAACAUCUGAGAACUAGAAACAAAGAAAAAAUUUUGAAAGCAAUCAGAGAAAAGACACUUGACCAAUACGAGAAAAGCAAUUAAAAUGACAGAUUUCUCAUCAGAAACCACAGAGGAGAGAUGGAAGUGGCACGAUAUUUUUCAGGUGUCAAAAGAAAAGAGCUCUCAACCUAGGCUGACAAUCCUCUACCCAGGAUGAAAUCCUAGUUUCACAAUUGCAUUAGUCCAUUCUCACAUUGCUAUAAAGAACUACCUGAGACUGGGUAAUUUAUGAAGAAAAGAGCUUUAAUUGGCUCAUAGUUCUGCAGGCUGUACAGGAGGUGUGACUCAGGAGGCCUCAGUAAACUUAGGAUCAAAGCAGAAGGCGAAGGGGAAGCAGACACAUCUUCAUAUGGCAGAACAGGAGAGAAAAAGAGUGAAGGGGAACGUGCCACACACUUUUAAACAACCAGAUCUUGUUAGAACUCUAUCACAAGACAGCACUGGGGGAUGGUGCGAAACCAUUGGAAACCACCCCCAUGAUUCAAUCACCUCCCACCAGGGCCCUCCUCCAACACUGCGGAUUACAAUUCAACAUGAGAUUUGGGUGGGAGACAGAAACAAACCAUAUCAACAAUCCUAUACCCUGAAUAUUCAAUCCUAUAACCAAAGUGAAAGGGAAAUCAUAAUAUUCUUAAGCUGAAGAAAAAGUAAGAUAAUUUACUAUCCUAUCCAAAAAGUAUACCUAAAGAAAGUUCUCUAAACAGAAGGAAAACAAAAGAAAGACACCAGGAAAGGAAGAAAACAGAAAAAAAUAAGAUAAAAGAUCUGCAGCUAUGGAAUUCUUCUCCAUGACAUUUUCACAGAACAUACUACUUGUGAUUUAUAUCAUGUCCUUACUCAAGGCCACAUCCUUCCAAGGAAAAGUGAAUGUGCUCAUUUCCAUGCUACUGAAAGCCUGUCAUUCCUCAGCACUCAUCCCCAUCAUCACCUCCAUCUCCUUGAUCAACAGCACGUAAUUUGUCCUCAUCCCCUACUGUUUAACCGAUAUGAUCUCAUGAAAAUCCACUACAACUCAAGGCCAGGAGAAUUCAGGCUCUGGCUUUCAGCCUCUUGCCCAGUGUAACCAUUAGUGGCGUUCCCACACCAAGGGCUAAUGUUGAUUACAUUACUACUAAAAUGUUCCCAAAUGGGAUGAAUCAGAAGUGGGAUAACCUCGACAUGAGAAUUUGCCUCCUGUUCUCGGAAGAAACACUGUCAUUGUCAUUGUCCAUAUUUUUAAUUCAAU
rnacentral:lncRNA from 10 species